rnacentral:rRNA from 1 species
GCAUAUUUUAGAGCUAAAAUCAUAAAAUUUAAAUUAACUUUAUUACUAUUAAAUCCACCUUCAUUAUAAAAUUUCAAUUAUAAAUCCGUAUAAAUAUAUUUAUUGUAACCCAUCUCUACUUAUCUAUAAACUGCACCUUGAUCUGAUUUAAAUUAUAAUUAAAAUUAUUGAACAUUUAAAUUCUUUUAAAAUAUUCAACUACGACGAUAUACAAAUUAAUAAAAUAAGUACAAUUAAUCGUGGAUUAUCGAUUACAGGACAGGUUCCUCUAAAAAGACUAAAAUACCGCCAAAAUCUUUUAUUUUCAAGAUCAUAACUAAUACUAAUACAAUAUUUUUUAUUUAUAUUUUCA